rnacentral:misc_RNA from 1 species
GAAAUGCGAUAAGUGAUGUGAAUUGCAGAAUUCAGUGAAUCAUCGAAUCUUUGAACGCACCUUGCGCUCCUUGGUAUUCCUUGGAGCAUGCCUGUUUGAGUAUCAUGAAAUCUUCAAAGUAAAUCUUUUGUUACUCAAUUGGUUUCUACUUUGGUAUUGGAGGUCUUUGCAGCUUCACACCUGCUCCUCUUUGUUCAUUAGCUGGAUCUCAGUGUUAUGCUUGGUUCCACUCGGCGUGAUAAGUUAUCUAUCGCUGAGGACACUGUAAAAGGUGGCCAAGGUAAAUGCAGAUGAACCGCUUCUAAUAGUCCAUUGACUUGGACAAUACUUUUAUGAUCUGAUCUCAAAUCAGGUAGGACUACCCGCUGAACUUAAGC